rnacentral:ncRNA from 2 species
UAAUUGUUAUAUGACUGACGGAAAAAGUGGAAGAACCACAUGAAGUAUAACGUUUACAAUGCCGACCGUCUGGGCGAGAUAA